GACUUCGAGAUCUACAUUUUCGACAAAGGCCUGGUGUAAUAUUACGUACUUGAUGAAGGUUUAAUGACACGAAUGAGUACAAGUACAUUACAUUUUUCGACGAAGGCCUUCUGUAAUUUCAUACGCUUCUUACGCAACAUUCAAUAGAUUUAUUUACUGUAUUAUCAUUUCGACCAAGGCGAAUUCGACACUUCAAUUACACAAGCACAAUCAAACUUAGUCAUUCCAGUCAGUUACUGAAGCACAGCGAAAACUGUCUGAAUUAGUGCUGCUGAUGGCAUGUAAUUACUCUACUACCACUACCAGUGACAGUCAAUGUCCAUAUAUUUUCAAGUGUGCGAAAUUAGUACUCGUCUACUUCUUAGUGUUAUUUGAAUGCAAUGAAUGUUAUAAAAAUAUUUUUUCAACACUAUAUCAACAUUCUCAUUCCUGUCAGUUUCUGAAAAUCAGCUAAAGCAAUCGCUACCAAGGCAGCUGAUAACAGCAAUUCUUUUUGUUCCCAAUGCCCAUCCAUGACAAUAUAUUUCACGCAUGUGACAAUCAUGUAAUCAUCCUUUUUUUUGUGUUCUAUUCAUGCAAUAAAUAAAUUCAGUAUUUUCAAAUCAUUGGUGCUACAAAACUAUUCUCAUUAUAGAUUAUUCAUAUUUUAUAAAAUGGUGUCAUGUCAAAUUUUGUGUCCUAUAAAUCAUUAAGAAGUCGGCAUUUUAUAUACAACUUUUGUACUCCUCCUAAAUAAACAUACAAAUCUUGUUUUAUGUAAACUUUGUAUAUGUGACCCGUCACAGCAAAACCAGGCGCAUGUCGCUCUGAGCUUGGCAGGUUGAGACGGACUGUUCUAAUCUUUCAUUAGCGACACCAUUUCUUACCCGAUUGCCUCCUUCAUUCAUACAUCUUGUACUUUAACUCAAGAUACCCAUCUUUGAAUAUUUUUAGUAUACCAAGUACUACAAUGUCAAUGUAUUGAAGUCAUGUUCUUGUAGUGUUAUUGGCUUUCUAUUAUCUUGUCAAAAUACCACUUGGUUCUCGCAAAAUCUCAAU